rnacentral:rRNA from 1 species
AUUGAACGCUGGCGGCAGGCCUAACACAUGCAAGUCGAGCGGAUGAGUGGAGCUUGCUCCAUGAUUCAGCGGCGGACGGGUGAGUAAUGCCUAGGAAUCUGCCUGGUAGUGGGGGACAACGUUUCGAAAGGAACGCUAAUACCGCAUACGCCCUACGGGAGAAAGUGGGGGAUCUUCGGACCUCACGCUAUCAGAUGAGCCUAGGUCGGAUUGGCUAGUUGGUGAGGUAAAGGCUCACCAAGGCGACGAUCCGUAACUGGUCUGAGAGGAUGAUCAGUCACACUGGAACUGAGACACGGUCCAGACUCCUACGGGAGGCAGCAGUGGGGAAUAUUGGACAAUGGGCGAAAGCCUGAUCCAGCCAUGCCGCGUGUGUGAAGAAGGUCUUCGGAUUGUAAAGCACUUUAAGUUGGGAGGAAGGGCAGUAAGUUAAUACCUUGCUGUUUUGACGUUACCAACAGAAUAAGCACCGGCUAACUUCGUGCCAGCCGCCGCCGUAAGAC